rnacentral:lncRNA from 1 species
CAGAUAAGGAAAUGGAUCCCCCACAGUUGAAAGACACAGUUGUCCAGGGUCCUCAGUCCUGUUCAACGUGUCUGAAGUCCGUACCUGAAACCUAGCUCCAUUCCUCUUCAGGUGCUUCUGCCCCAGCUCUGGCACUGAGACCCGGGAGAACGUUAGACCUCUGUGCCCCUUGCUUAAAGGAACUCUGCUCCCAGUGGAUUUGUUAAUGGGGUUAGCAUUGUAAUGGGAGACUCUGAGUUUGCAGUGUGCUGUGAAGUCUGCGGGUGGCCGCCACCCUGGAGGCACGACUCUCAUCUAUUACUGGGAGAAGGCUGUAAAGAGAAACAAACGUCACCACAGGAGGACUGUCAGAGGAUUCAUGCCACGGCUGGAAGAGUUCUUCCGCAAGGUUUUACACAACAGCACUUGUGACAUGUCCAUCUUCCCCUCUGUCAGCAGCCCAGGAGCAUAAAACUGCUAACAACUAGGAUUAGAUUUUAUCCACCAUUUUAUCAGACAU